CAAAAGAGAUAGUGUUAGUCCAUCGGUAAAAUCACUGCACCCUUUUUUACUCUAUUUCUUGAUCUUGUUUGUGAAAAUUAAGCUCCUACUUUGUUUUUUAAAGGUUUGUGUGAAAUACUGAAUUUCAGCAGCUGCAGCCACUGAAUGUGAUAAAUAGAAGAGUAUGGUCAUGACCCAUCCCAGGCAAGAUUAGAAGAUAAAGACUAUACCUCCUAGAAGAGCUGCAUCUCACUGUCAG